GGAGGAAAAGAAACCAACAGGGAUUGCCUCAGUAACGGCGAGUGAAGCGGCAAAAGCUCAAAUUUGAAAUCCCCCCGGGGAGUUGUAAUUUGAAGAUUGCGUCUUGGAGGCGACCGUGUCUAUGUUCCUUGGAACAGGACGUCACAGAGGGUGAGAAUCCCGUGCGGCACGGCCCCCGGCUCCUUAUAAGGCGCUCUCGACGAGUCGAGUUGUUUGGGAAUGCAGCUCAAAGUGGGUGGUAAAUUCCAUCUAAAGCUAAAUACAGGCGAGAGACCGAUAGCGAACAAGUACAGUGAUGGAAAGAUGAAAAGCACUUUGAAAAGAGAGUGAAACAGCACGUGAAAUUGUUGAAAGGGAAGGGCAUGCCGUCAGAUUGUCAGUGUGGGUAAGAAGCGGGGUACAAAGACUGUGGAACGUGGCCCUCGGGUGUUAUAGCCGCAGUUCAUGCCCCGUCUCUUUCCGAGGCCUGCUUUGAGGACACCGACGUAAUGACGGUACGCCGCCCGUCUU
rnacentral:rRNA from 1 species